rnacentral:rRNA from 1 species
UACAGAGGUCUCAAGCGUUUGUUCGGAUUCAUUGGGCGUAAAGGGUGCGUAGGUGGCGCGCUAAGUCAGGUGUGAAAUUUCGGAGCUUAACUCCGAAACUGCAUUUGAUACUGGCGUGCUUGAGGACUGGAGAGGAGACUGGAAUUUACGGUGUAGCGGUGAAAUGCGUAGAUAUCGUAAGGAAGACCAGUGGCGAAGGCGGGUCUCGUGGACAGUUCCUGA